UACGUAGGGGGCUAGCGUUGUCCGGAAUCAUUGGGCGUAAAGCGCGUGUAGGCGGCCCGGUAAGUCCGCUGUGAAAGUCGAGGGCUCAACCCUCGAAAGCCGGUGGAUACUGUCGGGCUUGAGUACGGAAGAGGCGAGUGGAAUUCCUGGUGUAGCGGUGAAAUGCGCAGAUAUCAGGAGGAACACCAAUUGCGAAGGCAGCUCGCUGGGACGUUACUGACGCUGAGACGCGAAAGCGUGGGGAGCAAACAGG
rnacentral:rRNA from 1 species